rnacentral:rRNA from 1 species
CCUUGAGUGUGGAUGAAGGUAGGCUGGAAUUUCUGGUGUAGCGGUGAAAUGCRUAGAUAUYACGAGGAACWCCGAUUGCGAAGGCAGGCUUACUAGGACUAGAACUGACGCUCAAGCCCCGAAAGCGUGGGGAUCAAACAGGAUUAGAUACCCUGGUAGUCCACGCCGUAAACGAUGAUUACUAGGUGUUUGCGAUAU